rnacentral:rRNA from 1 species
UGGGGAAUAUUGGGCAAUGGAGGAAACUCUGACCCAGCGACGCCGCGUGCGGGAUGAAGGCCUUCGGGUUGUAAACCGCUUUCAGCAGGGAAGAAGCGAAAGUGACGGUACCUGCAGAAGAAGCACCGGCUAACUAUGUGCCAGCAGCCGCGGUAAUACAUAGGGUGCAAGCGUUGUCCGGAAUUAUUGGGCGUAAAGAGCUCGUAGGUGGUUCGUCACGUCGGAUGUGAAACUCUGGGGCUUAACCCCAGACCUGCAUUCGAUACGGGCGAGCUUGAGUAUGGUAGGGGAGUCUGGAAUUCCUGGUGUAGCGGUGGAAUGCGCAGAUAUCAGGAGGAACACCAAUGGCGAAGGCAGGACUCUGGGCCAUUACUGACACUGAGGAGCGAAAGCGUGGGGAGCGAACAGGAUUAGAUACCCUGGUAGUCCACGCCGUAAACGGUGGGCACUAGUUGUGGGGACCUUCCACGGUCUCUGCGACGCAGCUAACGCAUUAAGUGCCCCGCCUG